AUUCUAUUGCAUCCUGCACCGUAGUGCAUGCAGAGAUGGACGAUGGAACCAGAAAUCAAUAACUAACACCCACAGACAAUAAAUUACACUUAGCCAAUCUGACAGACCGAGUGCCCGGGACGCGUAUUGCUCGCUUCCUCUGCAGUUCAUUUAAAUUUUACAGUCUUAUCAGGUGUAAAGUUUCGCGAUCGUAUUUUAAAUUUGCACACAGAGCGCAACCAUGACGACGAUGGUUGUGAGGAUCAAUCAGAUGGCGUAUGGCAAAAACUUGACAAUGAAACAACGAAGUUUAUUGCUGACCAGGAGUAACCAGGGGGACUUAACCCACGAGUACAUGCUGAUCAUCCUAAUAGGCAUGGCAUUGUACAUCCUUGUCUUCAAUGAAAGACCCAAUUAAAUAAAAUAUUCGGUUAAUUGAGACGAGUACAAUGGAUAUCAACAUUUGAA